rnacentral:rRNA from 1 species
UACGGAAGGCGCAGUGGGGAAUAUUGCACAAUGGGCGCAAGCCUGAUGCAGCCAUGCCGCGUGUAUGAAAAAGGCCUUCGGGUUGUAAAGUACUUUCAGUCGUGAGGAAGGUGUUAAGGUUAAUAACCUUAGCAAUUGACGUUAGCGACAGAAGAAGCACCGGCUAACUCCGUGCCAGCAGCCGCGGUAAUACGGAGGGUGCGAGCGUUAAUCGGAAUUACUGGGCGUAAAGGGCACGCAGGCGGUUAAUUAAGUUGGAUGUGAAAUCCCCGGGCUUAACCUGGGAAUGGCAUUCAAGACUGGUUAGCUAGAGUCUUGUAGAGGGGGUAGAAUUCCAUGUGUAGCGGUGAAAUGCGUAGAGAUGUGGAGGAAUACCGGUGGCGAAGGCGGCCCCUGGACAAAGACUGACGCUCAUGUGCGAAAGCGUGGGGAGCAAACAGGGAUUAGAUACC